rnacentral:rRNA from 1 species
UUGAAUUUCGGGGUUAGUAGGUUGGUCAUGCCUCUGGUAUGUACUGGUCUCACUGAUUCCUCCUCCUGAUGAGCCGUAAUGCCAUUAAUUUGGUGUUGCGGGGAAUUUGGACUGUUACUUUGAAAAAUUAGAGUGUUUAAAGCAAGCUAACGCUUGAAUACAUUAGCAUGGAAUAAUGAAAUAGGACGUUCGAUCCUAUUUUGUUGGUUUCUAGGAUUGACGUAAAGAUUAAUAAGGAUAGUUGGGGUCGUUAGUAUUCAAUAGUCAGAGGUGAAAUUCUUGGGUUUAUUGAAGACUAACUACUGCGAAAGCAUUUGCCAACGGUGUUUUCAUUAAUCAAGAACGAAAGUUAGGUGGUCGAAGACGAUCAGAUACCGUCGUAGUCUUAACCUAAAACUAUGCCGACUAGGAGUCGGAUGAUGUUAAUUUUUAAUGACUC